rnacentral:rRNA from 1 species
GACGAACGCUGGCGGCGCGCCUAACACAUGCAAGUCGAACGAGCGAGAGAGAGUUACUUUUUCGAGCGAGUGGCGAACGGGUGAGUAACGCGUGAGGAACCUGCCUCAAAGAGGGGGACAACAGUUGGAAACGACUGCUAAUACCGCAUAAGCCCACGGGUCGGCAUCGACCAGAGGGAAAAGGAGCAAUCCGCUUUGAGAUGGCCUCGCGUCCGAUUAGCUAGUUGGUGAGGUAACGGCCCACCAAGGCGACGAUCAGUAGCCGGCCUGAGAGGGUGAACGGCCACAUUGGGACUGAGACACGGCCCAAACUCCUACGGGAGGCAGCAGUGGGGAAUAUUGCACAAUGGGGGAAACCCUGAUGCAGCGACGCCGCGUGGAGGAAGAAGGUCUUCGGAUUGUAAACUCCUGUUGUUGAGGAAGAUAAUGACGGUACUCAACAAGGAAGUGACGGCUAACUACGUG